GAUGAACGCUGGCGGCGUGCCUAAUACAUGCAAGUCGAGCGAACAGACGAGGAGCUUGCUCCUCUGACGUUAGCGGCGGACGGGUGAGUAACACGUGGAUAACCCACCUAUAAGACUGGGAUAACUUCGGGAAACCGGAGCUAAUACCGGAUAAUAUAUUGAACCACAUGGUUCAAUAGUGAAAGACGGUUUUGCUUUCACUUAUAGAUGGAUCCGCGGCGCAUUGGCUAGUUGGUAAGGUAACGGCUUACCAAGGCAACGAUGCGUAGCCGACCUGAGAGGGUGAGCAGCCGCACUGGAACUGAGACACGGUCCAAGCUCCUACGGGAGGCAGCAGUAGGGAAUCGGCCGCAAUGGGCGAAAGCCUGACGGAGAAGCGCCGCGUGAGUGAUGAAGGUCUUCGGAUCGUAAAACUCUGUUAUUAGGGAAGAACAAAUGUGUAAGUAACUAUGCACGUCUUGACGGUACCUAAUCAGAAAGCCACGGCUAACUACGUG
rnacentral:rRNA from 1 species